UUUCGCAAUGCCCGAAAGGGUGACGAAGCGACGCCGCGUGAGUGAGGAAGGCCUUCGGGUUGUAAAGCUCUGUCAGGAGUUAAGAAAUAUAAGUGUGUUAAUACCGCAUUUAUUUGACAAAGGCUCCAAAGGAAGCCGCGGCUAACUCUGUGCCAGCAGCCGCGGUAAUACAGAGGUGGCAAGCGUUGUCCGGAAUUAUUGGGCGUAAAGAGCACGUAGGUGGGUUUGUAAGUCAGAUGUGAAAGCCCUCUGUUCAACGGAAGAAUUGCAUCUGAAACUGCGGAUCUUGAGUGUAGGAGGGGAGAAUGGAACUUCUGGUGGAGCAGUGAAAUGCGUAGGUAUCAGAAGGAACGCCGGCGGCGAAAGCGAUUCUCUGGCCUAUUACUGACACUCAGUGUGCGAAAGCUAGGGGAGCAAACGGGAUUAGAUACCCCGGUAGUCCUAGCCGUAAACGAUGGGCACUAAGUAGAGGGGUUUU
rnacentral:rRNA from 1 species